rnacentral:rRNA from 1 species
GAUGAACGCUGGCGGCGUGCCUAACACAUGCAAGUCGAGCGAACGGACGCGAAGCUUGCUUUUCUGAUGUUUGCGGCGGACGGGUGAGUAACACGUGGAUACCCUACCUAUAAGACUGGGAUAACUUCGGGAAACCGGAGCUAAUACCGGAUAAUAUUUUGAACCGCAUGGUUCAAAAGUGAAAGACGGUCUUGCUGUCACUUCUCGAUGUAUCCGCGCUGCAUUAGCUAGUUGGUAAGGUAACGGCUUACCAAGGCAACGAUGCAUAGCCGACGUGAGAGGGUGAUCGGCCACACUGGAGCUGAGACGCGGUCCAGACUCCUACGGGAGGCAGCAGUCGGGAAUGUUCGGCAAUGGGCGAAAGCAUGACGGAGCGACGGCGCGUGUGUGAUGAAGGUCUUCGGAUCGGAAAACUCUGUUAUUAGGGGAGAACAUAUGUGUAAGUAACUGUGCAGAUCUUGACGGUACCUAAUCAAGAAGCCGCGGCUAACUACGUG